GCGACUCUGCGCACGCCGUGGCUCCCGUUCGGUCCCUCGUCGCGCUGCCAGCCUCGGACCGGGCGAGGCCGUCCCCGCCCCAGUACGAGCAGGUCGCCGGUCUACCACCGCCCCCUCCCCCCGCCUCCUCGCAGCCGCCAUGGCCUGAAGUGGGCAUCCCCGAGCAGCGCCUCCCCUCCGGCCCCUCCUCGCGCCGCCGGCCUCGGGCCGGACGAGGCCGUCUCCGCUCCAGUGGGAUUAGCUCAGAGGUGUACCUCGCCGGUCUCAUCCGCCUCCUUGCCGUACCUAUCAAUGCCCCAAGCCAAGCCGGUAAUUGACGCUUGACGUUCCACUUUCUCCCCACGAUCUCCACAAAAAACUGAUGGAUUGCAUAUUAAAGUCGAUGCCUCGCCUCCCAUCAUCCUCCAGUACAGGUUGGUGUCUGCCAUAGCGUGCUCAUACUGCAGCUGCAGGUGAGCAUCCCCCUCCUCCCUCCUAAGCCAUUCCCUAUGGCAUAUUGCCAAUUGACUAACGAAUUUGGACUUCCUCAAGUGUUGGACGACUUGGAUGCCCAAUCAGUCGUUUUGAUUGUUCUUCACUCGCUGCAUACCCAACCACCUCAGAUUUACGGCUCCUGUUGGUAUUUAAUGUUCCCAUCCAUUUCAUACGAACCAAUUCUGAAGUUUUGUAUCUUUGGUUCAUAUGUAGAUUUAAUUUUGCUUGAUGAAUACACUGAAUUGCAAUUUAAUUCUUUGCCUAAUCCAAAUCUGAAUUUAAUUUCGCUUGAAAUAUGUAGCCUUCCAUUUCAAUUCUUCAGGUUUCUUCUUGGCUACCUUGGGGUCGAGCCGCCAUUGUCUUGCUGAUCCUCACACGCUCCAAUCUGAAGUUGAAGAUUACCUCCGACACACGCUCCAAUCUGAAGGUAUAUGCAAAUAUACAUGUUUUACUGCAAAUUAUGAUGGCUCGCUUCCUUGGAGUUUUUUCUAAUUUAUAUUUUCUUACUGAAGAUUACACAAUAGUUCCUCUACACUUCCCAAAGUGUAAUUGUCCCAUGUACAUUUUAGGUAAAGUGCAUAUACUAUGGAUGCAUAUAUAGAUUAUUCUGGAGUUUCUUUCAUUUGGUUGAGGCGGAUCACUGAAACUGAAUAGUAUUCUGGAAAUUAUGAACUUUUUUUACCAGGAAAGAAAUAUGGACACUAUCAUCUCUUAAGAGAAGGAUUUGUCUCUGUUGAACGUUCUCGUGCUACUUUUGCCCAUCUUAAUUGCAUAGCCACACCGAAGAGUUCCCUGGUGUCAUAAGCUUACUCAAAGUAUCUCAAAUAUAUGUGAGUUACGACUAACUAGGUACACACCAGAGAUCUGAAAAAAUCAAUCAAGGUCUAUCGACUGAUCUAAUCUUCCCUAUACAGUGUGUUUGUGCAAAACCGGGUUUUACAGUGCAUUCUCAAUUGUGCUUUUGUUGGACUUCGCAUCAUGGGGUCGAUGCCUCCCGGAUCGAGGUCCAUGCUUCAAGUUUAAGGUACAGCCUCUGUGCACUCUCUCAUAGCGAUCUCGACAGAGCAAAUAUCUUCCAGACCUUCCUCAAUUGCUAUAUUUUAUAUCUCAAUUUCAUUUGCUCAUAAUUACUACCUCACCUUCAAAUGUACAGGUUCUAAAUUAUGGUUGACCCUUUUGUGCAACAAAUUAUAUUGGAUUGGUUGCACAACAGUCACACAUAGACUCGCGCAUUAACAUCUGCCAGUUAGUUUGGUUAUACUUUAAAUUCAAAUGGCCCCUUAUUUAUUUAUUUGUCUAUUUAUUUUUGAAUGUCAAUCUUAUAGUGGUUGGUGGAUAAAUCAACCUCGCCAGAUGUUGGGUCCAUGUUGAUGUUGAGGUAUCCCUUCAUCUCCAUCUUAGUGGCUCUUCGAUAUUAUGAUGUUUUGCGGUUCUCCCUCACACUGUCAGUUUGCAGCCUAAGAUUUACAUGACUCAUAAGCAUGCAUAGUUGUGCACCAUAGAAGAGAAGGCAAACCAAAUAAAUUCAGAGGCGCCUAAAAAAAUUAGCAGUUUGCUGCAAAAGUUGUUCUGGUGAGAGACUCAAGUGUGAGCCUCAUGGUUUAUAGGUGACCUAUUUUUUAUAGGAAAUCAGAUUAUGAGUGAACUCACAUAUUAUCAAUGCAAUAUGUUUUUUUAUGGAAUGUACACAAUAGUUGCUAUCAUUGAUUUGAUUUAGGUUU